GCAGUGGAGCUGCGGCUGUUGGGAUGGCGGCAGCGGGCGGUGAGGAGCCGGACUCGGACGACGGCAGCGAGGAGCUGGUACUCACUCCAUUACAGCUCAUCCGCAGCCUGGAACAGGCCUGGCUGAACGAGAAAUUUGCCCCCGAGCUGCUGGAGAGCAAGCCUGAGAUCAUUGAGUGUGUGGUGGAGCAGCUGGACCACAUGGAGGCAAACCUAAAACGGGCAAAGAAAGGAGACUUGAAGGUCAGCGUCCACCGCAUGGAGAUUGAAAGGAUCCGUUAUGUGCUCAGUAGUUACUUGCGGUGUAGACUCGCGAAGAUAGAGAAGUUUUUCCCACAUGUGCUGGAGAAGGAGAAAUCUCGAGCCAAAGGAGAGCCUUCCAUUCUAUCACCAGAGGAGUUUGCCUUUGCUAAGGAGUACAUGGCAAACACCGAGACUUAUCUGAAAAAUGUGGCCCUAAAGCACAUGCCGCCCAACCUGCAGAAAGUGGCCCUCUUAAAAUCAGUCCCGAAACCCAACCUGGACUCUUUCGUGUUCUUGAGAGUGCUGAAGAGGCAGGAGAACAUCCUGGUUGAGCCAGAGACUGAUGAGCAGAGAGAGUACACCAUUGAUCUGGAGGAGGGCUCACAGCACCUGAUCCGGUACAAGACCAUUGCCCCGCUGGUGGCCUCAGGAGCAGUGCAGCUCAUCUGAGCGAGUGGCUUUUCCAGGUCUAUAGCACACGAGCUGUCACUCCUCCAGCCAUGCCUGUGGACCUGGCCAUGCGGCUCUGCCUGGGCCACUCACCCCCUAUUCGCAAGCUGCUGAAUUCCUAUGAGGAGCUCCGGGGCAGCCGGGGACGCAAACCCCUCCGCUCGUGUCUGAACCUGAAGCAGAGCACAGAUCAUGAGCCUGAGUGGAGAGAGAGCACCAAGAGCUCCAAAAGUCAGAAGAAGAAGAGGGUGGUGUUUGCUGACAUGAAGGGGCUCUCGCUGACAGCUGUCCGAUUCUUCUCAAAGAUUGAGGAGGACCUCUGUGAUUUGCAGCAUGCUCUGUCAGACCUCACCUGCUUCCGGCCCAGGCUCCGGGACUCGCACUCAGAAGUGUGCAGGUAUGUGCUGGACUUCCCACAACCCUCUGCAGACUAUGCAACCUUCCGCAGCCGCCUGCUCAGCAACCUGGUCUGCCUGGAGAGCUGCCUGAUCCAGGACCAUGCCCUGUCUGGGACAGUGAAGGUCAGAAACAUUGAGUAUGAGAAGAAAGUCCUCGUCCGCAUCACCUUUGAUGGCUGGAAGAGUUUCCGAGACGUCUCCUGCCAGUACAUGCAUAGCACAUAUGGCUCAGCAGACAUGGACACCUUCUCCUUUGAGCUCUCCCUUCCCAAGCCCUCCAGCUCCUGCAAGGCCACAGAGUUCUGCAUCUCCUUCCGCUGUGGGCAGAAGACCCACUGGGACAACAACCAGGGGAAGAACUACAAGAUCUACCAUGUGGGUGUGACCCGCUCACCCUCCCAUGCUGUGAAGAGUGCCAAGGGGGCCCGGGAACACCUUGGCACCUCCCGGGCUGCUGCCCUUGUCCUUUCUCACCUGCAGAGCUGGCGGCAUUCAGAGCCCCAAGCCCCGUACUGGUAGGGAGGUGCUCUGGGGGGGGCUGUAGGUCCCUUAUGUCCCUGCUUUGGUACAAGGACCCUUGCGGGGUGAUGGGGGCAGUGGCAGCAGCAGCAAGUGCUGCUCCCAGCUCUUUUAGCUCCUCCACGAGCCUGGCUGGGCUAUGGUACAAGCAGCUGCUGGGCUUCAAACUGGGUCCUGCUACAUCGUCGGCUGGGAGCCGUUUCAGUGAAGUUCCUGCUGGUGCGUCCUCGAGGAAGCGCUAGUGUGAGAGUACGGGAGUGACAGCGGGACGAAGUGCGGCCCCUGAAGGCCGCUUCCGGUGUGAGCCUGGGGCGCGAUCAGCGGGGCGCGCCUUGCGUGCAGCCGGAGGGGGCGGCUCGGGGCUGUCGCCGCGGAGCAAACGUGGAGGCCGCAGGCGGAUGUGGCGGGCGGGACGAGGCUGCUCAGUGCCGCGGUGGGGCGCCUCGGGCCGGCCGCGCUGUUACGGGAGGCAAUAAAGUGACGGCACGGUG